GACGAACGCUGGCGGCGUGCUUAACACAUGCAAGUCGAACGAAGUGGCGAACGGGUGAGUAACGCGUAAUCAACCUGCCCUUCAGAGGGGGUCAACAGUUGGAAACGACUGCUAAUCCCGCAUACUGAAGGACGGGAUUGCGUCUGAUUAGCUAGUUGGAGGGGUAACGGCCCACCAAGGCGAUGAUCAGUAGCCGGGCUGGGAAGGUUGACGGCCCCAAUGGGACUGGGACAAGGCCCAAGAUCCUACGGGGGGGAGCAGUGGGGAAUCUUCCGCAAUGGACGGAAAUCUGACGGAGCAACGCCGCGGUAGUGGUGGCGGGCUUCGGGUUGUAAAGCUCUGUUAAUCGGGGCGCGGUACCGGAAGAGAAAGCCACGGCUAACUACGUGCCAGCAGCCGCGGUAAUUC
rnacentral:rRNA from 1 species